GCCACCCAGGCGCCCCGUACAGCAUGACCUCUUGUGAAUCCACUCACCAAGACAACUAGAGGAAGUGGUAAUCAGAUACUGCCUUCUAGAAGCUAUUAAAAUUGUGAGAAGUAAAUUUCUGUUAAGACACCUGGUCUAUGGUAUUGUGUUAUGGCAGCCCAAGCCCACUAAGACACUGCCUAAAAGAACAUCACACCGAAGAGGACAUAGAGAUGCUUCUUUCUCAGGUUUUUGGAUACAUCAUCAUCCUGUUAUUCUGUGGUUCUAUAACAUAGCAGGUACUGAGCCCUGCUAGGAACCAGGCUGUGUUCUAAGUGAUAUAUCACUGAUUAUUAGAAACAAUCUUCACGGCAUCCUCACCAGGAGUAGAUUCCGUCUCAAGAAACCACUUUCUUUGCUCAUCUAUAAGAAGCAACUCUUCAUCUGUUAAAGUCCUAUCAUGAGAUUGCAGCAAACCAAAUAUAAUAAUGAAAAAGUUUGAAAUAUUGCAAAAAUUACCAAAA